AUGUGUGUCCCAAAAAACAAAGGAGGUAUGGGUUUCAAAGAUAUACAUUGUUUCAACAUGGCUUUGUUAGCCAAGAAAGCACGGCGUCUGCUUGAUAAUCUAGAGUCCUUAUGUGCUUCUAUCUUGAGAGCUAAAUACUUCCCGGGAGGUGAUUUAAUGAACGCUAGCUUAAAAAAGGGUUCCUCUUUUACUUGGCAAAAUAUUAUGGCAGGAGUGAAUUCUCUAAAAAAAGGUUACAUAUGGAGAGUUGGAAAUUGACAAAAUAUUGAUAUUUUGAGAGAUGCAUGGAUCCCGAAUUGUGCGAAUAGGAAAUUAUUACCCCUAAGGGGGAAACUACUGUCAAAGGUUUAUGAUCUUAUUGAUCCGGUCACGAGUUCCUGGGAUGAAUAUUUGGUGACACAAACUUUGUGGACAAUUGAUGCUCAAAGGGUUCUCGCGAUUCCCCUUUCAAUGCAUAAUAUGUCGGAUUUCUUUGCUUGAAGCUAUACAAAAAAUGGUCUUUUUACUAUAUGAUCAGCUUAUUUGCAGGAAUGGAACAAACAACAUGGGAAAAAAUUACAACAUUCAAAUGGUAUGUGGAGAACCAAUGUUAAUCAUGUUUGGGGUAAGAUUUGGAAAUUACCUUGUCCAACAAAGGUAAAAAAUUUCAUUUAGUGUACUUUGCAUGGAACCCUUCCAUGUCGAGUUACGCUUCCUAAUAGACCCAUGAAAGUUUCGCCGAAUUGCCCAUCAUGAUUGAAUGGGCCAGAAGAUACAAAACACAUCAUGUUUCUGUGCCAGAAGGCCAAAGAGGUUUGGGGCCAGUUGGGAUUACACGAGGUGAUC
rnacentral:rRNA from 1 species